GACACGACUCUUGAUAAUGGAUAUCUCGGGUCUCGCAUCGAUGAAGAGCACAGUGAAAUGCGAUAAGUGGUGCGAAUUACAGAAUCUCACGAAC
rnacentral:rRNA from 1 species